rnacentral:rRNA from 1 species
CACGUAGGGCGCGAGCGUUGUCCGGAAUUAUUGGGCGUAAAGAGCUCGUAGGCGGCCUGUUGCGUCCGCUGUGAAAGCCCGGGGCUUAACCCCGGGUCUGCAGUGGAUACGGGCAGGCUAGAGGUAGGUAGGGGAGAAUGGAAUUCCCGGUGUAGCGGUGAAAUGCGCAGAUAUCGGGAGGAACACCAGUGGCGAAGGCGACUAUCUGGGCUGCAACUGACGCUGAGGCGCGAAGGCUAGGGUAGCAAACAGG